rnacentral:rRNA from 1 species
CAAGUCGAGCGGAGACGGGAGCUUGCUCCUUGAUUCAGCGGCGGACGGGUGAGUAAUGCCUAGGAAUCUGCCUGGUAGUGGGGGACAACGUUUCGAAAGGAACGCUAAUACCGCAUACGUCCUACGGGAGAAAGCAGGGGACCUUCGGGCCUUGCGCUAUCAGAUGAGCCUAGGUCGGAUUAGCUAGUUGGUGAGGUAAUGGCUCACCAAGGCGACGAUCCGUAACUGGUCUGAGAGGAUGAUCGUCACACUGGAACUGAACACGGUCCAGACUCCUACGGGAGGCAGCGUGGGGAUAUUGACAAUGGGCGAAGCCUGAUCCGCCUGCCGCGUUGUGAAAAGGCUUCGAUUGUAAACACUUAAGUUGGGAGAAGGCAGUAAUUAUACUUGCUGUUUUACGUUCCAUAUAA